UGGCGGCGUGCUUACACAUGCAAGUCGAGCGAAUGAAGCACCUUCGGGUGUGAAUUAGCGGCGAACGGGUGAGGAACACGUGAGAAAUCUGCCUUCAACACUGGGAUAACUCCGGGAAACCGGGGCUAAUACCGGAUAUGAAAUCUGCAGGCAUCCGCGGAUUUGGAAAGUUUUUCGGUUGAAGAUGAUCUCGCGGCCUAUCAGCUUGUUGGUGAGGUAAUGGCUCACCAAGGCGACGACGGGUAGCCGGCCUGAGAGGGCGACCGGCCACACUGGGACUGAGACACGGCCCAGACUCCUACGGGAGGCAGCAGUGGGGAAUAUUGGGCAAUGGAGGAAACUCUGACCCAGCGACGCCGCGUGCGGGAUGAAGGCCUUCGGGUUGUAAACCGCUUUCAGCAGGGAAGAAGCGAAAGUGACGGUACCUGCAGAAGAAGCACCGGCUAACUAUGUGCCAGCAGCCGCGGUAAUACAUAGGGUGCAAGCGUUGUCCGGAAUUAUUGGGCGUAAAGAGCUCGUAGGUGGUUCGUCACGUCGGAUGUGAAACUCUGGGGCUUAACCCCAGACCUGCAUUCGAUACGGGCGAGCUUGAGUAUGGUAGGGGAGUCUGGAAUUCCUGGUGUAGCGGUGGAAUGCGCAGAUAUCAGGAGGAACACCAAUGGCGAAGGCAGGACUCUGGGCCAUUACUGACACUGAGGAGCGAAAGCGUGGGGAGCGAACAGGAUUAGAUACCCUGGUAGUCACGCCGUAAACGGUGGGCACUAGUUGUGGGGACCUUCACGGUCUCUGC
rnacentral:rRNA from 1 species